rnacentral:rRNA from 1 species
AUUGAACGCUGGCGGCAGGCCUAACACAUGCAAGUCGAACGAGUGGCGGACGGGUGAGUAAUGUCUGGGAAACUGCCCGAUUGAGGGGGAUAACUACUGGAAACGGUAGCUAAUACCGCAUACCAUCGGAUUUGCCCAGAUGGGAUUAGCUAGUAGGGGGGGUAACGGCUCACCUAGGCGAUGAUCCCUAGCUGGUCUGAGAGGAUGACCAGCAACACUGGAACUGAGAAACGGUCCAGACGCCUACGGGAGGAGGCAGUGGGGAAUAUUGCACAAUGGGCGAAAGCCUGAUGCAGCCAUGCGGGGGGUAUGAAGAAGGCCUUCGGGUUGUAAAGUACUUUCAGAGAGGAGGCGUUACUCGCAGAAGAAGCACCGGCUAACUCCGUGCCAGCAGCCGCGGUAAUUC